CCUACGGGAGGCAGCAGUAGGGAAUAUUGGGCAAUGGGCGCAACCCUAACCGAGCAACGCCGCGUGAACGAAGAAGUAUUUCGGUAUGUAAAGUUCUUUUAUUAAGGAAGAAUAAUAUCCAAAUGACGGUACCUAAUGAAUAAGCUCCGGCUAACUACGUGCCAGCAGCCGCGGUAAU
rnacentral:rRNA from 1 species